ensembl:misc_RNA 7SK 7SK RNA
GGAUGUGAGGACGAUUUGGCUGUGACAUCUAUCACCCCAUUGAUAGCCAGAGUUGAUUCAGCAGAUCUGGCUGGCUAGGCAGGUAUACUUUUCCUCCUUCACCACUCCAUGUGAGUCCCUCCCAAUGCUGAGCACUCAGUCAAAGACGACAAACAUCCCAAUAGAAGAGGACAGUUCUUCAGUUAAGGGUAUACAAACAGCUGUGCUCCCCUGCUUGAACCUCCAAACAAACUCUCAAGGUCCAUUGUAGGAGAACAUAGGGUAUUCAAGCUUCCAAGACUUCAGACACAUUCAAUUAAGGCACUGUAUGUCACAGUGUGUGUUUCUUU